rnacentral:rRNA from 1 species
GGGGGGGGGGGGGGGGGGGGGGGGGGGGGGCAGGGCGGGGGGGGGGUGCGGGGGGGGGUUUUCGGGUGGGGGGCGGGGAUUGUGCGUGGCGGGCGGGUGGGGGACGCGGGGGCGACGUGCCCUAUAGAGGGGGGUAGGCGCUGGACACGGCUGGUCAGACCUGCUAAGUCGGUUAAAUCUCCUUCUUGUCUCGGGGCAUGAGCAAUCCGGUAUCGGAUGGGCCCGCGUCCGCUUAGCCAGUUGGCCGGGUAAAGGCCUCCCAAAGCGACGGUCGGUAGCCGGACUGAGAGGUCGGACGGCCACAUUGGGACUGAGACACGGCCCAAACUCCUACGGGAGGCAGCAGUGGGGGAUAUUGCACAAUGGAGGAAACUCUGAUGCAGCGACGCCGCGUGAGUGAAGAAGUAUUUCGGUAUGUAAAGCUCUAUCAGCAGGGAAGAUGAUGACGGUACCUGACGAAGAAGCCCCGGCUAACUACGUG